rnacentral:rRNA from 1 species
AGAGUUUGAUCAUGGCUCAGAUUGAACGCUGGCGGCAGGCCUAACACAUGCAAGUCGAACGGUAACAGGAAACAGCUUGCUGUUUCGCUGACGAGUGGCGGACGGGUGAGUAAUGUCUGGGAAACUGCCUGAUGGAGGGGGAUAACUACUGGAAACGGUAGCUAAUACCGCAUAACGUCGCAAGACCAAAGAGGGGGACCUUCGGGCCUCUUGCCAUCAGAUGUGCCCAGAUGGGAUUAGCUAGUAGGUGGGGUAACGGCUCACCUAGGCGACGAUCCCUAGCUGGUCUGAGAGGAUGACCAGCCACACUGGAACUGAGACACGGUCCAGACUCCUACGGGAGGCAGCAGUGGGGAAUAUUGCACAAUGGGCGCAAGCCUGAUGCAGCCAUGCCGCGUGUAUGAAGAAGGCCUUCGGGUUGUAAAGUACUUUCAGCGGGGAGGAAGGGAGUAAAGUUAAUACCUUUGCUCAUUGACGUUACCCGCAGAAGAAGCACCGGCUAACUCCGUGCCAGCAGCCGCGGUAAUACGGAGGGUGCAAGCGUUAAUCGGAAUUACUGGGCGUAAAGCGCACGCAGGCGGUUUGUUAAGUCAGAUGUGAAAUCCCCGGGCUCAACCUGGGAACUGCAUCUGAUACUGGCAAGCUUGAGUCUCGUAGAGGGGGGUAGAAUUCCAGGUGUAGCGGUGUAAUGCGUAGAGAUCUGGAGGAAUACCGGUGGCGAAGGCGGCCCCCUGGACGAAGACUGACGCUCAGGUGCGAAAGCGUGGGGAGCAAACAGGAUUAGAUACCCUGGUAGUCCACGCCGUAAACGAUGUCGACUUGGAGGUUGUGCCCUUGAGGCGUGGCUUCCGGAGCUAACGCAUUAAGUCGACCGCCUGGGGAGUACGGCCGCAAGGUUAAAACUCAAAUGAAUUGACGGGGGCCCGCACAAGCGGUGGAGCAUGUGGUUUAAUUCGAUGCAACGCGAAGAACCUUACCUGGUCUUGACAUCCACGGAAGUUUUCAGAGAUGAGAAUGUGCCUUCGGGAACCGUGAGACAGGUGCUGCAUGGCUGUCGUCAGCUCGUGUUGUGAAAUGUUGGGUUAAGUCCCGCAACGAGCGCAACCCUUAUCCUUUGUUGCCAGCGGUCCGGCCGGGAACUCAAAGGAGACUGCCAGUGAUAAACUGGAGGAAGGUGGGGAUGACGUCAAGUCAUCAUGGCCCUUACGACCAGGGCUACACACGUGCUACAAUGGCGCAUACAAAGAGAAGCGACCUCGCGAGAGCAAGCGGACCUCAUAAAGUGCGUCGUAGUCCGGAUUGGAGUCUGCAACUCGACUCCAUGAAGUCGGAAUCGCUAGUAAUCGUGGAUCAGAAUGCCACGGUGAAUACGUUCCCGGGCCUUGUACACACCGCCCGUCACACCAUGGGAGUGGGUUGCAAAAGAAGUAGGUAGCUUAACCUUCGGGAGGGCGCUUACCACUUUGUGAUUCAUGACUGGGGUGAAGUCGUAACAAGGUAACCGUAGGGGAACCUGCGGUUG